UACUCCUACGGGAGGCAGCAGUAGGGAAUCUUCCGCAAUGGACGAAAGUCUGACGGAGCAACGCCGCGUGAGUGAAGAAGGUUUUCGGAUCGUAAAGCUCUGUUGUCAGGGAAGAACAAGUACCAUAGUAACUGAUGGUACCUUGACGGUACCUGACCA
rnacentral:rRNA from 1 species